CAAUAGCGUAUAUUAAAGUUGUUGCGGUUAAAAAGCUCGUAGUUGGAUUUCUGCCGAGGACGACCGGUCCGCCCUCUGGGUGUGUAUCUGGUUUGGCCUGGGCAUCUUCUUGGAGAACGUAGCUGCACUUGACUGUGUGGUGCGGUGUCCAGGACUUUUACUUUGAGGAAAUUAGAGUGUUUCAAGCAGGCACACGCCUUGAAUACAUUAGCAUGGAAUAAUAAGAUAGGACCUCGGCUCUAUUUUGUUGGUUUCUAGAGCUGAGGUAAUGAUUAAUAGGGAUAGUUGGGGGCAUUCGUAUUUAACUGUCAGAGGUGAAAUUCUUGGAUUUGUUAAAGACGGACUACUGCGAAGGCAUUUGCCAAGGAUGUUUUCAUUGA
rnacentral:rRNA from 1 species